AUCUUUCACCCCCAGAUGGCAUCCCAUUUAUCCCAGCCAAAUCGUGUGUGUCCUUCAAGAACACAUCAAAGGAAAACCCAUUUGAAUUGAAUUAAAAAUAGUGCAACUAAAAGUUGGACAACUCGGCCGAGUAAUUAGCCAAAACAGUGUGCCAGAAAAGUAAAAGUGAACUCAAUGAUUGGCGAAAUCGGAAAAACCUUUGCCAGUUCUUUUUUUGUUUGGUUCAAGAAACUGCAAUCGUAUUGUACUCAAAGUCAAG